rnacentral:rRNA from 1 species
GGGCUUCGGCCCUCCGGAGAGUGGCGCACGGGUGAGUAACACGUGGGUAAUCUGCCUCCGGGUGGGGAAUAACAACCCGAAAGGGUUGCUAAUACCGCAUAACGCAGCGGCACCGCAUGGUGACAGUUGUUAAAGCGGGGGAUCGCAAGACCUCGCGCCUGGAGAGGAGCCCGCGCCCGAUUAGCUAGUUGGUGAGGUAACGGCUCACCAAGGCCGCGAUCGGUAGCCGGCCUGAGAGGGCGGUCGGCCACACUGGCACUGAGACACGGGCCAGACUCCUACGGGAGGCAGCAGUGGGGAAUUUUGGGCAAUGGGCGAAAGCCUGACCCAGCAACGCCGCGUGAAGGACGAAAUCCCUCCGGGAUGUAAACUUCGAAAGUCAGGAAAGAAAUCCCGCCGGUCAAUACCCGGUGGGGAUGACGGUACCUGACGUAAGCCCCGGCUAACUACGUGCCAGCAGCCGCGGUAAUACGUAGGGGGCAAGCGUUG